rfam:Arabis alpina cultivar Pajares chromosome 4, whole genome shotgun sequence.
CUGGCUUUAGCUCAGUUGGUAGAGCGGAAGACUAUAAUAGUUGCUGUGAUCUUUAGGUCGCUGGUUCGAAUCCGGCAAGCCAGA